GACGCCCAGGCUAUGCCUGCUAUAUUUUUACACUACCUUAAGUCAUCAAGUCUUCAACUAAAGCUCACACCUAUUUCAAAUUCUACCACUUUCUAGUUAUCGAGAUGUCGACUGCUAGCAUAAAGUGCAACCACCGGAUAUGCCCACACAGGGGAGACAACUUAACGGAGGCAGCAGAACGAGGCAGAUUUGAUCGGUUCAAUGAACAUUUAGAUCAUCUUGAUUUCAUUGUGACACCAAAUGGAAACACAAUACUACAUAUUCAUCUUUCCCGUCAAAGGGAAAUAUCUACUGACUUUAUUGAGCAAGUAGUUGUCCAAUGCCCGAGGUUGUUAUCGCAGGAAAAUUUUGACGGUAAUACUCCGUUGCACAUUGCAGCUAGUCACGGGUAUACUAAUGUAGCGGAAAAACUAAUCAGGUUGGCAGAGGCCUUACAUGAUGCAUUAGAUUCACGGAGAAGAGAAGUGGCAAUAAAUAUCUUACAGAAUGAAGUAGAGGCAGCAGAGAGGGCAAACAGAGUAGUGAGGGAGAUGUUAAGGAAGGUAAAUGAAAAAGGAGAAACGGCAUUGCAUGUGGCAGCACGAAAUGGAAGAAGUCUUGGUGUUUUGAAAGCAAUAUUGAGCAAGGAAGAUCCUCAGUUCGCAUAUCCUGUUAAUAAUCUUGGGGAAUCUCCUCUUUACUUGGCUGUUGAUAGCACAUGUACAAAAAUAGUGGCUGAACUGUUAAAUAAUCCCAAUUCACAAUCUCUGGAAUAUGAUCGCCUUUAUGGCCGUUAUGAUGAAACGGUGUUGCAUACAGCAGUAAGACGAUGGGAUACAGAGAUAGUACGUAUGCUCUUGGAGAAACAGAGUAGUUUGGCUAAAAAAGAAGAUGGGCGAGGAAAGACUCCACUUCAUUACGCUGCAUAUGAAGGUUCUAGCUCAAUGGUGGCAACUUUAUUAGAUAAUGAUGGUUCUAGCUCAAUGGAGACAACUUUAUUAGAUAAUGAUGAAUAUAUUGCUAGGCAAUUACAGGUUAUGGGAGCUCUUCACAUUGCAGCCGCUCAAGGCUAUAAACACGCAAUGAAUGAGAUUAUUUCUAAACGUCCAGACUGUUGUAAACUCACUGACACAGAGGGCAAAAACGUUCUUCAUUAUGCAGUAUACAGUAGACAUGAAGAAGUACUGAAAGCAAUCCUUGAAGAGUCAUCAUUAAUUUCCCUCAUAAUUGAGAAAGAUAAUAAUGGGAAUACGCCUGUCCAUGUAUUCAAGGCUCUUAAUCUCCCUUUAUCUUCUUUCAUACUUGAUGGAGAUACUGAUGCCUUCAUCCUUUGGAAGAAAUUAUACUGUAGCCUCCCCGAAGACUUUACCAUAGAGAAUUCCUUGCUUUGGAGCAACGAAGAUCAUUUCAAAGUUACGAAACGUCAUCCGGAACGUAAAACAGAAAUGGCAAAAAAGAGAGAAGAAAAGAUAAUACUUCAAUUAGAAAAAGCCAAAGACUCACAUCUGGUGGCCGCAGCACUUGUAGCAACCGUAACUUUUGCAGCCGCAUUCACCUUGCCUGGUGGUUAUAUAAGUGAUGAAAAAGACUCAGGGAAAGGCACUCCCAUUCUGAUAAAAAAUUCAGCUUUUAAAGCAUUUAUUAUAUCAGACGCUCUAGCUAUGGCUCUUUCUACUUCUUCUGUCUUUAUAUACUUCAUCAUGGUGAUGCUAGGAUAUGGACCAAAAUACUACUGGUUAAUAAAAACUGCCUUCAGGUUUAUCUUCCUUGCCAUGGGAGCAAUGGUGGUUGCAUUUGCUACAGGCACUUAUGCAGUUCUUGCACCUUCCUUAGGGCUUGCCAUUUCUACUUGUGCCAUUGGUUUGAGCUUCUUUCUUUUCUUGUUUUAUGUCCUCAAAAGGUUAAGUAGUAUUCCUGACGAUUAUGAUCAUGAAAGGAUUUUAACACUCUUAUGGCUAAGUUUUGGAGGCUAUUGCUUGGUCUAAAUGCCCUGCGAGCUGCGUGAUUGGCUUAUAGAAUGCUUGGUUAGAAGGCAUACACUUGGUUUGAAUGGAUGGCUAGAUAAGAGAGGACAGAAAAGAAAGAGUAGAUGGGCAAGAGUAUUUCUUACAUGAGAGCUUAAUGAUUUUGAAAAAGGGACUACACAGCUUGUGCACUUUCAUGUCUAUCCUGUGCACCUUCACGGAGGACAUUUGAAAAUUAUUGAAACUUGCACAACAUGCUGCACAGCCUAUGCAGCUUGGUUGUACACUUUCAUGGAAGAUAUCCAAACAUGCCAAAACCUACACAGGCAUCUCGUACAGUAUGUGUACCUUCAUAGAAAGCCUCUGGAGACUGCCAAAUGCACACUUGUUUGAAAUUCUACCACUUAUGAUGGAGAAGUCAAAUGCUAGCAAAAAUUGCCUCCACACGAGAUGCCCAUCCAUGGAUGAUGACUUAAAGAAGGCAGCAGAACAAGGCAGAUUUGAUCCAUUCAAUGAACAUUUAUAUCAUCUUGAUUGCAUAGUGAGACCAAAUGGAAACACAAUACUACAUAUUCAUGUUUCCUUUCCAAGGAAAAUAUCUACUGAGUUAAUAAAUCAAGUAGUUAGCAAUUGCCUGAA